rnacentral:rRNA from 1 species
CAUUCGAGUGGCGGACGGGUGAGUAACGCGUGGGUAACCUGCCUUACGCAGGGGGAUAACACCUGGAAACAGGUGCUAAUACCGCAUAAGCGCACAGGGCCGCAUGGCCCGGUGUGAAAAACUCCGGUGGUGUAAGAUGGACCCGCGUCUGAUUAGCUUGUUGGCGGGGUAGGGGCCCACCAAGGCGACGAUCAGUAGCCGGCCUGAGAGGGUGGACGGCCACAUUGGGACUGAGACACGGCCCAAACUCCUACGGGAGGCAGCAG